rnacentral:lncRNA from 1 species
CAACACCAAAUGCUGGCGAGGAUGAGGAGCAACAGGAACUCUCCCUCAUUGCUGGCGAGAAUGUAAAAUGGUAGCACCACCGUGGGAGACAGUUGGGCAGCUUCUUAUAAAACUAGACAUACUCUACUACAGAAUCCCACCACGGAACAUUCUUGGUAUUUGCCGACAUCAAUCAAAAACUUAAGUCCCUACAAAAACCUGCCCAUGGACAUGUAUGGUAAUUCACAAAACAUGGAAGCAGUCCAUAUGUCCUUCAGUGGGUGGAUGAAUAAAUAAACAAUGAUACAGCCAGACAAUGAAAUCGUAUUCAGCGCCAAAGGAAAGGAAGUAUUAAGUUAUGGAAUAUGAAGGAAACUUCAGUGCAUCUGACUCAGUGAGAUGAGCCAAUCUGAUAAGGCUACACUUGGUAUCACUCCAAGUACACGACACUCUAGAAGAGGUCGAACCGUGGAGUCAGUAAAAAGAUCAGUGGAUGCCAGGGGUUUGGAGGUCUAUCAAUAAUCAGAGAUAUGUCACUGCUCUGAAGGACGCUGCAAUGGCCCUGUGUCAUUGUGCAUUUGCCUAAACCCAUGGAAUAUACAUACAGCCCCAAGAGUGAGCCUAACGUAAACCAUGGACUUUGGGUAACGAUGAUGUGUUCCUGAAUGAUGAUGAUGAUUAAGAUGAUAAUAACAUAAAGGGCUGAAGAUGAAGCUCAGUGGUAAAGUGCCCCUGGGUUCAAUCCCCAGGACCAAAAAAAAAAGGAAGAAGGACAGAAAAACAAACAGUUUACUUGGGACAUUCUUCCUGGUCUGCCCGCCCCUCUCUACCAUCCUGGUUCUUUCUCUCUGCUGCCCAAGUGUUCUGACCACCCCACCGGGGAAUGUGUUUACUGGGGCGUCUGCCUGCUUUCCUCUUCUUCGUGGUUUGCUGGAUCCUUUGUUAAAGAUUUUCCAGUUUAGGGGCCAGCCUGGCUGGAAGCUUCUGGAUCUCCGGUUCCUCUGCCAAUCUUGUAGCCACCCACCCCCCAGCUUCCUGCCAGCCCACUGAUCUUCUAGAAAGAAUUUCAUAAACAAAUGACAGCCCUGAGCUGCUCUGCAAGUACUGUCCUGGUAUAAACGUGUAUUCUGACACCCAAUGGAGGAGAAGAAAAUUCAAGAUUGGGGAGAGAAGAAAAUCCUGGAUAACUCAUUAACAUCACCUCCAACCAGGCUUAAUCUGGCCUCCUUUGGAGUGAGUCUGAAGUGAGAGGAAAAACAUCUUCCCUCCUCACCCUCCAAGGGAGAGAGCUGUCAUGCAGAACAGACUUGAGGGGAGCCCACCGACUGUGAGCCCCACUUCCAUUUCCCAGGCCUUGAUUAAGACUUUUAGAGGCAUUAAGCUCUGAAAAGAUUGGGCAUCUCCACCCCAAGGAGAAGUGCAAAAAUAUAAUCAAAUAUAAGCUACAAAUAAAUGUGAGGGAGCCCUUCAACACUUCGCAUGAUUCCAAGAUGACCACUUUGAAAUCUUUCAGUUUUUGAAAUAUGUAAUGUGAAAUUCUUUUUUUUUUAAAGAGAGAGAGAGAGAAUUUUUAAUAUUUAUUUUUUAGUUCUCGGCGGACACAACAUCUUUGUUUGUAUGUGGUGCCGAGGAUCGAACCCGGGCCGCACGCAUGCCAGGCGAGCGCGCUACCGCUUGAGCCACAUCUCCAGCCCCACAAUAUGAAAUUCUUAGAUGGGUUUCUCCUUCUUUGCUGAUUUCCUUGUGUGGAUUUGUUUUGCACGUUGCUCCUAUUUGUAAUCAGCUCACACCCCCAGCUGGUCUUCCUGCCUAGUGCUGGGCUGCGGUAGAAUCAUUUCUGAGCUGACCUUGUCCAGGUGGCUCUGAGCUAAAGGGUCCCUCCAUGAAACAGGGUCACUGACUCAAGUUCUUUCUCACCAAGACUGUGCUUCAUCCUCCAAGGCACACCAACUCCAGGCUGAUCAGGGACAAGAUGAGCAGGGAGGCGGGGGGACAGAGUCCUGUAUAGGCAUUAGUCCUUGGGCUAGGGUAGUUCAGCUUAGGAAAUCAAACUCGAAUCAAAUUGAUUGCUUCUGGGAUCCCUGUUGUAAGCUAAAAGCAAUUUUAGGCUGGAGUGGGUGGCCCAGCAUGGGGUCUUAUCAUCAGGGGCCUGGGUCUCUUCUGACCUAGGGUGGCCGAGAGAGUGGAACAGAGUGGUCAAGAAUCCACUUUGGAACUGACCAGCCAUUAAGGUACAUUGCCUCCUAUAAGUGUUAGAGGGUCACCCCUGCACUAUAGAUGGGUAAACUGAGGCCAAGUUCACCUGCACAAAGAUGGAAGAGUGGGGUCUGCUAAGGGGGUCAGUGUUGAGAUGUGGCUCAAAGUAACCUGCAGGGACCACAACCUGGAGCCCCUUUUUCAUGUUUUAUCAUCUCCUGGAGCUUCUGAUGCUAGAGUGAAAGGCGAGAAGCCUCUGGACAUCAAUAUCAUCACUGCACGUUUGGUCCUACUAUGUGCUGGGUGUUCAGGUAAAUGCUUCAAAUUUGUCAUCUCAUCUACACAGCAUCCCUGCAAGGUGGGCAAUUUUUCUUUCUUUCUUUUUGGUACUGGGGAUUGAACCCAGAGGUGCUCAAGCCACAUCUCAGCCCUUUUUUGUAUUUUAUUUAGAGACAGGGGUCUCACUGAAUUGCUUUGGUCCUCACUAAGUUGCUGAGGCUGGCUCUGAGCUCUCGAUUCUCCUGCCUCAGCCUCCUGAGCUGCUG